rnacentral:rRNA from 1 species
AACGAACGCUGGCGGCAGGCCUAACACAUGCAAGUCGAGCGCCCCGCAAGGGGAGCGGCGGACGGGUGAGUAACGCGUGGGAACGUACCCUUUGCUACGGAAUAGCCUCGGGAAACUGGGAGUAAUACCGUAUGUGCCCUUCGGGGGAAAGAUUUAUCGGCAAAGGAUCGGCCCGCGUUGGAUUAGGUAGUUGGUGGGGUAAUGGCCUACCAAGCCGACGAUCCAUAGCUGGUUUGAGAGGAUGAUCAGCCACACUGGGACUGAGACACGGCCCAGACUCCUACGGGAGGCAGCAGUGGGGAAUCUUAGACAAUGGGCGCAAGCCUGAUCUAGCCAUGCCGCGUGAGCGAUGAAGGCCUUAGGGUUGUAAAGCUCUUUCAGUGGGAAGAUAAUGACUGUACCCACAGAAGAAGCCCGGCUAACUCCGUGCCAGCAGCCGCGGUAACUGUCUAGCAUG